CUCAAGAGGUAUUUGUUGGUUUACUUUCACGGUAUCUUGUCUUUGGGUUGUGUUGGUUGUGUUUCACUUGCAAUGUGUAAAUUUUUUUGGUCCCUGUGAAUGUGAUAUCUUGUACAAAAGCUUCUUUCAAUUACCUCAUCACCUGUAGUUGGCUGUCGGAAUUUCUUUCCUCAGUCUUUGGACAGUGGCUGCCUUGUUGGUUGGUUUCAUUUAGAUUAUGUUCUACUAUGGAGAACUAAGAUAUUUUGUGCAUUAUUGUCUCAAUAAUCUGUGAAUUUUUGUUUUAGCACAGUUUUCUAAUUUAUUGGUCUUUUUUAAUUUAUUUUCUUAUUUUUUUGAUAAAUGGCUUGUGGUAGUUAUUAUCUUCUAAUUUACUCAUCAUUUCCUGCAGAUAAUGUAUAAGCAAGGUCUGG
rnacentral:misc_RNA from 1 species